CAGAUGACACAAAAAAUAAUAUAUUGUGCAACAAGUGCGACAACGUCGCACGAGUUGCACAUACUAUUUUGUAUUACAAAUGCGGUGAUAUAUGUGGGUACAAAAUUGGGGUCCAGGGGCGAA